rnacentral:rRNA from 1 species
ACGUAGGGUGCGAGCGUUAAUCGGAAUUACUGGGCGUAAAGCGUGCGCAGGCGGUUGUGUAAGACAGGUGUGAAAUCCCCGGGCUUAACCUGGGAACUGCGCUUGUGACUGCACGGCUAGAGUAUGGCAGAGGGGGGUGGAAUUCCACGUGUAGCAGUGAAAUGCGUAGAGAUGUGGAGGAACACCGAUGGCGAAGGCAGCCCCCUGGGCCAAUACUGACGCUCAUGCACGAAAGCGUGGGGAGCAAACAGG